AAAUUUAUUUAAUGUUAAAAAUAUUUAUUUAUUUAUUUUGAAAGAAUAUUUAAUCUUAUCAAUAUACUUUUUAAAAAAAUUAAUUAAAAUAAUUAAUUAAUUUAACAAAUAAUGAUUAAAUCUUAUUAAUGAUAUAACGAAUAAGCAAAAUAAUAAAAAUAAUAAAUAAUACAAUAAAAUAGGAAAAAUAUACAAAAUUAUUAUAUCUAAACUGUUAAGACCAUUAUCCAAAACAUGAAAUUUAACAAAUUCAAUAUUUUAUAACAUUGUCAUAUCUUGAUCCAUACACCCAGCAACUGCUUGAUCUAUUUUCUAACAAACUUUUGCCAAAAUUGAGACUGAUAUCACCGGCACUACUCCAUUGAAUAUUUUCAACAGAUUUCGUAGACGCAAUGAAGUGUCGGCAAUAGUCAGCGACAGAAAAAGGGGAGGGGUUGACGGGAUCUAGGAGAGGGGCGGCGGCGUGUAGCGGCGCCGGCUGGUGGGGUUGUCACCGGAGUUGGUGGGAUUUUCGCCGGAUCUGUUUUUUUUUGCGGAAAAAAAAGGGGGGGGGGGAAGAUGACCGACCAUCAUUUUUUUUACUUGAUUUUUUAUUUCGCUCUGGAUUUACACUGAUUUUUUUUAUGAUAUAGCAUGGGAACAAUAAUAUAUACAGAUGUGGA
rnacentral:lncRNA from 1 species